GUAAGGUGGUGACAGGAGAGAGUGUAGCCACACAACAUAGGAUGGUGGGUUGUAGGAUGACUUUAGAGGUGAAGAAGGAGAAGAGAGUGAGAACUCAACAAAGUAUCAGCUGGUGGAAGCUGAAGGAGGAAGACUGUCGUGUGAAAUUCAGUGAGCAGGUGAGAGAGGCACUGGAUGGAGGGGAAGCAAUUUUGAACAGCUGGAAAAGUACUGCAUAUGUGGUGAGGGAGACAGCUAGGAAGGUAUUGGGUGUGACAUCUGGAUAGUAGAAGGAAGACAAGUAGACUUAGUGGUGGAACGAAGAUGUUCAGGAAAGCAUAAGGAGAAAGAGGUUG